GAGAAUGCCGGUGUGAGUAGCGAAAGACGGGUGAGAAUCCCGUCCACCGAUUGACUAAGGUUUCCAGAGGAAGGCUCGUCCGCUCUGGGUUAGUCGGGUCCUAAGCUGAGGCCGACAGGCGUAGGCGAUGGAUAACAGGUUGAUAUUCCUGUACCACCUAUAAUCGUUUUAAUCGAUGGGGGGACGCAGUAGGAUAGGCGAAGCGUGCGAUUGGAUUGCACGUCUAAGCAGUAAGGCUGAGUAUUAGGCAAAUCCGGUACUCGUUAAGGCUGAGCUGUGAUGGGGAGAAGACAUUGUGUCUUCGAGUCGUUGAUUUCACACUGCCGAGAAAAGCCUCUAGAUAGAAAAUAGGUGCCCGUACCGCAAACCGACACAGGUAGUCAAGAUGAGAAUUCUAAGGUGAGCGAGCGAACUCUCGUUAAGGAACUCGGCAAAAUGACCCCGUAACUUCGGGAGAAGGGGUGCUCUUUAGGGUUAACGCCCAGAAGAGCCGCAGUGAAUAGGCCCAAGCGACUGUUUAUCAAAAACACAGGUCUCUGCUAAACCGUAAGGUGAUGUAUAGGGGCUGACGCCUGCCCGGUGCUGGAAGGUUAAGAGGAGUGGUUAGCUUCUGCGAAGCUACGAAUCGAAGCCCCAGUAAACGGCGGCCGUAACUAUAACGGUCCUAAGGUAGCGAAAUUCCUUGUCGGGUAAGUUCCGACCCGCACGAAAGGCGUAACGAUUUGGGCACUGUCUCAACGAGAGACUCGGUGAAAUCAUAGUACCUGUGAAGAUGCAGGUUACCCGCGACAGGACGGAAAGACCCCGUGGAGCUUUACUGUAGCCUGAUAUUGAAAUUCGGCACAGCUUGUACAGGAUAGGUAGGAGCCUUUGAAACGUGAGCGCUAGCUUACGUGGAGGCGCUGGUGGGAUACUACCCUAGCUGUGUUGGCUUUCUAACCCGCACCACUUAUCGUGGUGGGAGACAGUGUCAGGCGGGCAGUUUGACUGGGGCGGUCGCCUCCUAAAAGGUAACGGAGGCGCUCAAAGGUUCCCUCAGAAUGGUUGGAAAUCAUUCAUAGAGUGUAAAGGCAUAAGGGAGCUUGACUGCGAGACCUACAAGUCGAGCAGGGUCGAAAGACGGACUUAGUGAUCCGGUGGUUCCGCAUGGAAGGGCCAUCGCUCAACGGAUAAAAGCUACCCCGGGGAUAACAGGCUUAUCUCCCCCAAGAGUUCACAUCGACGGGGAGGUUUGGCACCUCGAUGUCGGCUCAUCGCAUCCUGGGGCUGUAGUCGGUCCCAAGGGUUGGGCUGUUCGCCCAUUAAAGCGGUACGCGAGCUGGGUUCAGAACGUCGUGAGACAGUUCGGUCCCUAUCCGUCGUGGGCGUAGGAAAUUUGAGAGGAGCUGUCCUUAGUACGAGAGGACCGGGAUGGACAUACCUCUGGUGUACCAGUUGUCGUGCCAACGGCAUAGCUGGGUAGCUAUGUGUGGACGGGAUAAGUGCUGAAAGCAUCUAAGCAUGAAGCCCCCCUCAAGAUGAGAUUUCCCAACUUCGGUUAUAAGAUCCCUCAAAGAU
rnacentral:rRNA from 1 species